CAAUCAAUGACAGCAGAGCAACGGCUGGUUCUUCACCACCACCCAUCCAAGAACAAGUGCAAGAUGCCCCUCAGUCGCCAGUACUACAAAUGACAGUACGUGGCAGAAGGACAGAAACUGUUGCAUCAUCAACACCACCACUGCGACAGAGACCCAGAAGAAAGAGGAAUCUGAAUCCUCGCCAAAGUGUUUCUGAGCAAUAUAGUGCAGCUCGACGAGAAUUUCUAGCAGUUGCAGAAGCAAAUGCUGCUACA
rnacentral:lncRNA from 1 species